rnacentral:lncRNA from 1 species
UAAAUAGGUCCCUCCGCCAAAUUUCCCAAACUCUUUUUUUUUUUUUUAACGGAGCUGAAAGGUGAUCUCCCUACAAGGAGAUCAGACGGCGGAAAGCAAUUGGGUUUAGCACGGCGUUUUUCCUGGUGCUCUUGGGCUCUCUGGGCAAACAGGACCGCGCGCCGGAUCCUAGAAGGAAUUAUUAGGGCCGGAAUCGCGGCGGGCGGGGAUGACUGUUAAAGCCAUCGUGGGAGCCGAAGCGCUUUGUUAAUGCAACUCAUUAGCUGUGAGCGACAAGAAGGAGAAGAGGCUAGGCGAGUCUUCAAAAAUACCCAAAGAGAGAAAAAUAAACAUCCUCUUGUUUGCUUUUUGUGGCUUGACUCCUUUUCCUCCCCUCCCGUGGCCCCCCUCCUGUAAGGCUGUCUUAAACCCAAAUUCGGUUAUCUGGUUUCAGGGUAAGGGCUCCCUCUUGCCAAGGUAUUAAAUAAACAAGUAAAGCAAAAACUUGAAUCCUUAUGCAAUCCAAAUGCUGUUUCCUCGAAAACCACAACAAACUCUGCUAAACCAGAUAACACGUUGGGAACAGUCGUGCCCCCACCCCAGCCCGUUUCAGGGCCAGCAGAGGACAUCCUUGCCCAGGAGCUCCUCUCCAGGACAGACGAUAAAUAAUUGCUACUAACACUGAACUGCAGAUGAGCCCCCUUGAGGGAUCCGGAUGCCGUAAACUGUCCCGGAAUGUUGGCAUCUGGCUCUUAAAAUGGAACUUUCCCUAGAGAUAAAGCCGGGACCGAGCAGGCGUCUGCGUCCGCGGGCUGGCUUGGAAGUUUCUGGCCUCUAGAUGCUCCCGGUUGAGAACGCAGCUUUGGAAAGAGGCUCAGUCGGCCCCGCUUUGUAGUGGAGUCCAGCAUCAAAGUCAUCCCCGCGAAGAUCCAAAGGAAUAAAUAAAUCUCGCCGGCCGCUGAGACCGUCACCUUCUCCCCAUCCGCUCCUCCCUCGCGCCAGCCCCACCCCGAACGCCUCGGUUGCAAAAACAAGUGAAAUAAAGCAAAACCUCUUGCUUUGGCAACCUCUAAGCCACGCUAUGCCUCUUUCGGCAAAAGGAAGAUUUCUUUCUUCUCCCUCUCCCGGCUUUUUUUUUUUCUUUUUUUUCCCCCUUCUUCUUCUCCCCCGACUCCCACCCCCGCCCCCGCCCCUUCCUGUUCUCCUCGGUCCCCUCGCCUUCCCCCAAAUCGCUCGAAACUUAAGACGUGCGGCG